CAGUCGCCGCGGUAAUACGAAGGGUGCAAGCGUUAAUCGGAAUUACUGGGCGUAAAGCGUGCGCAGGCGGUUGUGUAAGACAGGUGUGAAAUCCCCGGGCUUAACCUGGGAACUGCGCUUGUGACUGCACAGCUAGAGUAUGGCAGAGGGGGGUGGAAUUCCACGUGUAGCAGUGAAAUGCGUAGAGAUGUGGAGGAACACCGAUGGCGAAGGCAGCCCCCUGGGCCAAUACUGACGCUCAUGCACGAAAGCGUGGGGAGCAAACAGGAUUAGAUACCCGGUAGUCCCUGUCUCUUAUACA
rnacentral:rRNA from 1 species